rfam:Gossypium arboreum cultivar AKA8401 contig_5400_5, whole genome shotgun sequence.
AACCCAUGGUGAUGACACCUUCUCAACAGGUCCUUGUAUCUCUCCCAUGCAUCAUAUUGUGUUUCUAAAUCCAUCUGCACAAAAGAAGAGAUAUCAUCCCUUAAUUU